UACGGAGGGUGCAAGCGUUGUCCGGAUUUAUUGGGUUUAAAGGGUGCGUAGGCGGUCUUUUAAGUCAGCGGUGAAAUCCUCCAGCUUAACUGGAGAACUGCCAUUGAUACUGGAAGACUUGAGUACAGACGAGGUAGGCGGAAUUGACAGUGUAGCGGUGAAAUGCAUAGAUAUUGUCAAGAACACCGAUUGCGAAGGCAGCUUACUAGACUGUAACUGACGCUGAGGCACGAAAGUGUGGGGAGCAAACAGG
rnacentral:rRNA from 1 species